GGCGGUGAUGCUGCGUGAGAGUGGCGGUGAGAGAUCCAGACGUGCCCCAGAUACAGAAACUCGAAGUCAUUUGAAAUCUUUGCAAGCCAAAAUUUUCUCUUGGGUGAAAAAAAGA